CAGUCGCCGCGGUAAUACAGAGGAUGCAAGCGUUAUCCGGAAUGAUUGGGCGUAAAGCGUCUAUAGGUGGCUUUUCAAGUCCGCCGUCAAAUCCCAGGGCUCAACCCUGGACAGGCGGUGGAAACUACCAAGCUGGAGUGCGGUAGGGGCAGAGGGAAUUUCCAGUGGGGCGGUGAAAUGCGUUGAGAUCGGAAAGAACACCAACGGCGAAAGCACUCUGCUGGGACGACACUGACACUAAGAGACGAAAGCUAGGGGAGCAAAUGGGAUUAGAUACCCGCGUAGUCCCUGUCUCUUAUAC
rnacentral:rRNA from 1 species